rnacentral:rRNA from 1 species
UACGUAGGGUGCAAGCGUUGUCCGGAAUUAUUGGGCGUAAAGGGCUCGUAGGCGGUCCAUCAUGUCGGGAGUGAAAAGCUGGGGCUUAACCCCAGUCCUGCUUCCGAUACGGGUGGACUAGAGGUAGGUAGGGGAGAACGGAAUUCCUGGUGUAGCGGUGAAAUGCGCAGAUAUCAGGAGGAACACCGGUGGCGAAGGCGGUUCUCUGGGCCUUACCUGACGCUGAGGAGCGAAAGCGUGGGGAGCGAACAGG